CCUACGGGAGGCAGCAGUGAGGAAUAUUGGUCAAUGGCCGCAGGGCUGAACCAGCCAAGUAGCGUGAGGGAUGACGGUCCUAUGGAUUGUAAACUUCUUUUGUAAGGGAGCAAAGGGCGCCACGUGUGGCGUUUUGCGAGUACCUGAAGAAAAAGCAUCGGCUAACUCCGUGCCAGCAGCCGCGGUAAUACGGAGGAUGCGAGCGUUAUCCGGAUUUAUUGGGUUUAAAGGGUGCGCAGGCGGAAUGUAAAGUCAGUGGUAAAAGUUUGGGGCUCAACCCCUUAGUGCCGUUGAGACUGGCGUCCUUGAGUGAGCGAGAGGUAGGCGGAAUGCGUGGUGUAGCGGUGAAAUGCUUAGAUAUCACGAAGAACUCCGAUGGCGAAGGCAGCAUGCUGGCCUUUAACUGACGCUGAUGCUCGAAAGCGUGGGUAUCGAACAGGAUUAGAUACCCCUGUAGUC
rnacentral:rRNA from 1 species